rnacentral:rRNA from 1 species
CCAAUAGCGUAUAUUAAAGUUGUUGCAGUUAAAAAGCUCGUAGUUGAAUUUCGGGAUCAAUAUGUUGGUCGUGCCUUGGUACGUACUGGCAUUAUUGGUUUCUACCUUCUGAAGAACCUCGAUGUCAUUAAUUUGGUGUCUUGGGGAAUCAGGACUGUUACUUUGAAAAAAUUAGUGUGUUUAAAGCAGGCUCGCGCUUGAAUACAUUAGCAUGGAAUAAUGAAAUAGGACGUUUGAUUCUAUUUUGUUGGUUUCUAGGAUUGACGUAAUGAUUAAUAGGGAUAGUUGGGGGCAUUUGUAUUCAAUUGUCAGAGGUGAAAUUCUUGGAUUUAUUGAAGACUAACUACUGCGAAAGCAUUUGCCAAGGAUGUUUUCAUUAAUCAAGAACGAAAGUUAGGGGAUCGAAGACGAUCAGAUACCGUCGUAGUCUUAACCAUACACUAUGCCGACUAGGGAUCGGAUGAUGUUAAUUUUUUAAUGACUCAUUCGACGCCUUACG